AUAUAAAAUAACUGUAAUAGAAGCGGUAAAUGAGUUCAGUGAGUAUAU
rnacentral:guide_RNA from 1 species